UACGGGGGGGGCAAGCGUUGUUCGGAAUUACUGGGCGUAAAGGGUCUGUAGGUGGCCGACUAAGUCAGACGUGAAAUCCCUCAGCUUAACUGGGGAACUGCGUCUGAUACUGGUUGGCUUGAGUGCAGGAGAGGAACGCGGAAUUCCAGGUGUAGCGGUGAAAUGCGUAGAUAUCUGGAGGAACACCGGUGGCGAAGGCGGCGUUCUGGACUGCAACUGACACUGAUGGACGAAAGCCAGGGGAGCAAACGGG
rnacentral:rRNA from 1 species